rnacentral:rRNA from 1 species
CAGCAGCCACGGUAAUACGUAGGGUGCAAGCGUUAAUCGGAAUUACUGGGCGUAAAGCGUGCGCAGGCGGUUUGUUAAGACAGAUGUGAAAUCCCCGGGCUCAACCUGGGAACUGCAUUUGUGACUGGCAAGCUAGAGUGUGGCAGAGGGGGGUGGAAUUCCGCGUGUAGCAGUGAAAUGCGUAGAUAUGCGGAGGAACACCGAUGGCGAAGGCAGCCCCCUGGGCCAACACUGACGCUCAUGCACGAAAGCGUGGGGAGCAAACAGGAUUAGAUACCCGAGUAGUCCCUGUCUCUUAUAC